ensembl:lncRNA
AACACGAGUACUUAGUUACACGAAUAAACACAUGGUUCAUUGCCGUCGUAUUGUGCGUGUAGCUCAUCGCGUGAGGCCUCGUCCACAGGGGGGCCGCUGUUGUCUCUGAAUCUGUGGGAUCGGCGGCCGUGAAGAAGCUUUUCCUGCACAAACCAGCCGAUUCUGUUGGGAGACGCGAGACGAGCGUCUCACAAACGCAUGAAGCGCUGAAUGUCGCGCAGCGAUUGUGUGUUUUUGUGUCGCUGCGGGCGGCGAGUCCCACGACGAACGCUCUUCUAGUCCAAUUAGCUCCUCUUGGUCCCUCCCGGGCCCUCUGAGGAGCACGUAUCUAAAACAACAACCCCCCGUCCCCUCCGAGGGGCAGAUUGAAGACAAAAUGAAUACAAGUUUGUUGUGAUCGCCUUUAAACGUUGAAGCCUCGGGUUUAAAUACGCCACAUUUUAGUUGCUAAAUAGAGGAAGAGGCUAAAACGUGAGCGCCUUCUUCAAGAGAGAAGCGACACAUAUCGACCCGUGUGUGUGUCUGUGUGCCCUGCAGAGGGCUCGUGUGCAUGCAGAUUGUGUGUGUGUGUGUGUGUGUGUGUGUGUAUGUGUGCCCUGCAGAGGGCUUGUGUGCAUGCAGAUUGUGUGUGUGUGCCCUGCAGAGGGCUCGUGUGCAUGCAGAUUGUGUGUGUGUGUGCCCUGCAGAGGGCUCGUGUGCAUGCAGAUUGUGUGUGUGUGUCUGUGCCUUGCAGAGGGCUUGUGUGCAUGCAGAUUGUGUGUGUGUGUGUGUGUGUGUCUGUGCCCUGCAGAGGGCUUGUAUGCAUGCAGAUUGUGUGUGUGUGUCUGUGCCCUGCAGAGGGAUUGUGUGCAUGCAGAUUGUGUGUGUGUGUCUGUGCCCUGCAGAGGGAUUGUGUGCAUGCAGAUUGCGUAUGUGUGUGUGUGUCUGUGUGCGCUGGGCUUGUGCACAUUGUGUACCUCGCUGGAUUUUAAACUUUUAGUUGGACAUUUCCCCCCGAAGACACAAGCACAGCGAAACAAAGAGUGGAGAAAAGACGCAGAGGACGCUGAAUACAAAGACAGACACGCGGCGGUCGAUAAGCGGCCUGCGGCUCGCCGGCGAGGAUCACCGGACGCCACGUUGAGCCCUCUUCAGCCUCGACGUGGGACUCGGCUAAAUGUCAGCCGGCUGGCGCUUUGUGGACGGGAAUCAGGCGCCAUUGUCUGUGUUGUUUGGGACGGCUGCUGUUCAUGUAGUCUUUUUUUUGAGCAAAAUGGGAGAGGGCAAGACGGGGGGAGGAAAGUGUGGGGGGGGGGCUAAGCGUUUAAUCUCCUGCGGCGCGAAAACACAAACCGCCUUGUAAUCGUCCGACCUUGACACCGGCAGCAAGGUCGCGAGGGAGCCGGCGAGCUUCGCGUUUCCCACGGACGCUUCGCCCAGACGCAAAGGAGCAUUAUUGGGAUGGACGGAGAGGGAUAUCGAGUCCGUCUCCCUCCCUCCUCCACCCGCCAGCACCUCCUCCUCCUGCUCCUGCUGCUCCAGCACAUCUGGGACUGAUGAGGAAGUCAGCAAUGGUCUGAAGUUAAACAUCAUAGAGGGAACUCUGCUAAUUACAAGACUUUAUUUUGUAUCCAAGCGAAUUUGUUUAGUUCUCAGAGAGGAUGAUUCGCUCCAGAGGCUGCGUGGCCGGGUGAAUGCCUCAUUGCUCAGGAAGAAAACAAAGAGAACCAAACAUUUAACAUGGGAAUAACAUUUAAAUGGAGAGAAAAAUAUGAAUUCUUUUGCCUGCUUUCAAAACUAAACAGAAAUAGCGAACAAUGAGCUAAUUGUUUCUCUUAGUAUCUGUAUGUUGGGAUUCACACACUGAGUGCGCUCAUGUAUUAAUGCUGUGCGUGUGUGUGUGUGUGUGUUUGGCUCUGUGCGUCGGCCCUUGUGUCAGCUUCAUGUAAUUAAGGUCCUUUGUCCUCACGUCGCCUCCAGGCUUGAAUAUGCUGUGAGUGGAGAUAUGAUUCUGCAGGCCCAUUUAAUGUCUGUUUACCCCUGUUGGAUUAUAAUGAACUGUGCUCUGUGAACAAAGCCUCCUCAGCAUCUUAUCAACACAAAGUUCCUUCUGGAUGUGCAUCCAUCUCUCGUAGCGGUUAAACAGCCUUCACAAUGUCCCAUAACACAGAUGUAAUGUUACACACCUGGACUUUAGAUUCAGUAGUGUGCCUUUAUUUAUUUAUCUGUACGAAUUAUGAUUGUACUUUCCCCGUUUUAUGUUGCUGUUUUCCCUCCGUCUGACGUUGAGUUAAUUCGCGCAGUGCGUCUGGUUUCUCCUUUUAUAUUCACCCUGGUUUCCAUGGCAAAUAGCACAGCUUGUUAACAUCAAAGGUAGAAAAGAAAAAAGGCAGAACCAGUGCUUGAGAUCUCACAAGAUGAAACAGUGCUAAAAAACCCAACGGGGUCAUUGAAGGGUGAAGCUUUGCUUUUACUCCAAAACUUUGUAUGUGAUGUUAUAACGGUACUUUUUAUGUUGCUGCCGUCCUUUAAGCAAUUCAACUGUGCAGACCGGCGUUAACCCCCGAUUCUCAAAGGUCACUGCUGCAGAUCCUUGAACCUGCAUUCUCUGUAGUGACCAGCAGGGGGCGACUCCUCUGCUCCCAUAGACGUCUAUGAGGAAAUGACUCUACUUCUCUGUAGUGACCAGCAGGGGGCGACUCC